GCCCCUAAUUCCUAAACUGUUGGAACUAAAACUCCCAAAAUCAAUAUGUGGUCAUUAACCUUGUGUUAAAAUUUCAUAGAUUUCUAUUUACUUAUACUAAAGUUAUUGUGCAAAAACCAAGAAAAUGAUUAUUUAGGACCUUUUUCUGGCCCCUAAUUCCUAAACUGUUGGGACCAAAACUUCCAAAAUCAAUCCCAACCUUCCUUUUGUGGUCAUAAACCUUAUGUUAAAUUUUCAUACAUUUCU
rnacentral:lncRNA from 1 species